GGGAAGUUAUCCAAGUGGCUAAAGGGCGCAGACUGUAAAUCUGUUGAGCUAGUCUCUUCGUAGGUUCGAAUCCUACACUUCCCA
rnacentral:tRNA from 1 species